rnacentral:rRNA from 1 species
UAGCAGUGGGGAAUAUUGCGCAAUGGGCGAAAGCCUGACGCAGCGACGCCGCGUGAGGGAUGAAGGCCUUCGGGUUGUAAACCUCUUUCAGCAGGGACGAAGCGCAAGUGACGGUACCUGCAGAAGAAGCACCGGCCAACUACGUGCCAGCAGCCGCGGUAAUACGUAGGGUGCGAGCGUUGUACGGAAUUAUUGGGCGUAAAGAGCUCGUAGGCGGUUUGUCGCGUCGACUGUGAAAACCCGAGGC